GCUCGUUUAGCUCAGUUAGUAGAGUGCAAGGCCCUUAACAUUGUGGUCGUGAGUUCGAACCCCACAGUGGGCG